AGUUAAAAAGCUCGUAGUUGGAUUUCUGUGGGGACGGAGCGGCCGGCCGCUACUAGCGGUUCGAGCUAGCGCUUUCCCUACAUCCUGCCGCGAACCGCGCUACCAUUAGUUUGGUGGCGCCGGGGAUCGGCUCGUUUACUUUGAGAAAAAUAGAGUGUUCAAAGCAGGCCACACGCCUUGAAUAAGUUAGCAUGGAAUAAUAACUAAGGACUUCGGUUCUAUUU
rnacentral:rRNA from 1 species